rnacentral:rRNA from 1 species
UAAGGAAUAUUGGUCAAUGGACGCAAGUCUGAACCAGCCAUGCCGCGUGGAGGAUGAAGGUCCUCUGGAUUGUAAACUUCUUUUAUCUGGGAAGAAAUCCACAAAUUCUUUUGUGGUUGACGGUACCAGAUGAAUAAGCACCGGCUAACUCCGUGCCAGCAGCCGCGGUAAUACGGAGGGUGCAAGCGUUAUCCGGAUUCACUGGGUUUAAAGGGUGCGUAGGUGGGUUGGUAAGUCAGUGGUGAAAUCUCCAGGCUUAACUUGGAAACUGCCAUUGAUACUAUCAAUCUUGAAUACCGUGGAGGUCAGCGGAAUAUGUCAUGUAGCGGUGAAAUGCUUAGAUAUGACAUAGAACACCAAUUGCGAAGGCAGCUGGCUACACGAAUAUUGACACUGAUGCACGAAAGCGUGGGGAUCAAACAGGAUUAGAUACCCCCGUAGUCC